AAGCCCAAACAACAAAAUGAAGAUGAAAUAAAACCCCCAUUGUUUACCAUGCAUGCGCAGAGCUUCCUCUGAACUGAAAUAACUACAUUACCCAGAGGACCUUGCACCUGUGGGCAGAGCCUAAUCCAACUUCCUCAAAACGUUGCCAUGGUCGGCGGGACUUCCCUUUCCUUGGCCCCUUUCCCCCUCAGAAGAGAGAAAGGUCUCGCCACAGACUUCAGAGGACAUUGAAUGUCAGACUACCUGGGGAGAGGCCCUACUGGACAUCACAAAGGACUCAUUUCCUGGAGGAAGGAGGCCAGUUUCAACAGAAGCCACCUCUUUUCUCAAAAGGCUGUCUGGAAUGAAACAAUGUUGGAACCACUCUGCACCUGCAAGGACAAAUAAAUCUGUAUAAUUCACAAUGCAAUGUGAUGCACAAUAUUUCGUCUCCUUCCUGGAAUCAGAGCAUUUUGCACAUCCAUUUAUUUCUGAAUGAUAGGAGACUUUUGGAUGGAGAAUGAAAUUAGUGACAAUAGGCCAAUUUCUGGUUCCAAAUGGAGUCGUUGUUAAAUCAAGUGUGCUUUAUGCAAAGCACUAGGGCCAAUUACAAUUUGGGUGAAAACAAGUUGAUCCUCAAAACCUUUCUGCACACAUGGGAGUGUUUGAUUGAUAAUAAGAGUAGUUUCAGGCAGCUUAACUAACUUUUCAAAAUAUGAAACACAGUCCUAAGUAAUCAGAAUCA